rnacentral:rRNA from 1 species
GAUGAACGCUGGCGGCGUGCCUAAUACAUGCAAGUAGAGCGCACGGACGAGAAGCUUGCUUCUCUGAUGUUAGCGGCGGACGGGUGAGUAACACGUGGAUAACCUACCUAUAAGACUGGGAUAACUUCGGGAAACCGUAGCUAAUACCGCAUAAUAAUAUGAACCGCAUGGUUCAAAAGUGAAAGACGGUCUUGCUGUAACUUAUAGAUGGAUCCGCGCUGCUUUAGCUAGUUGGUAAGGUAACGGCUUACCAAGGCAACGCUGCAUAGCCGACCUGAGAGGGUGUUCGGCCCCACUGGAACUGGGACACGGUCCGGCCUCCUACGGGAGGCAGCGGUGGGGAAUCUUCCGCAUUGGGCGAAAGCCUGCCGGAGCAACGCCGCGUGGGUGAUGAGGGUCUUCGGAUCGUAAAACUCUGUUAUUAGGGAAGAACAGAUGUGUAAGUAACUGUGCACAUCGUGACGGUACCUAAUCAGAAAGCCACGGCUAACUACGUG